rnacentral:rRNA from 1 species
AGCAGUCGCCGCGGGAAUACGUAGGUGGCAAGCGUUGUCCGGAAUUAUUGGGCGUAAAGGGCUCGCAAGCGGUUUCUUAAGUCUGAUGUGAAAGCCCCCGGCUCAACCGGGGAGGGUCAUUGGAAACUGGGAAACUUGAGUGCAGAAGAGGGGAGUGGAAUUCCACGUGUAGCGGUGAAAUGCGUAGAGAUGUGGAGGAACACCAGUGGCGAAGGCGACUCUCUGGUCUGUAACUGACGCUGAGGAGCGAAAGCGUGGGGAGCGAACAGGAUUAGAUACCCCUGUAGUCCCUGUCUCUUAUAC